rnacentral:rRNA from 1 species
AUUGAACGCUGGCGGCAUGCCUUACACAUGCAAGUCGAACGGCAGCGGACCUUCGGGUGCCGGCGAGUGGCGAACGGGUGAGUAAUAUAUCGGAACGGUACCUUUCAGUGGGGGAGUAACGUAGCGAAAGUUACGCUAAUACCGCAUAUUCUGUGAGCAGGAAAGCNGGGGAUCGCAAGACCUUGCGCUGAUUGAGCGGCCGAUAUCAGAUUAGCUAGUUGGUGAGGUAAAGGCUCACCAAGGCGACGAUCUGUAGCGGGUCUGAGAGGAUGAUCCGCCACACUGGAACUGAGACACGGUCCAGACUCCUACGGGAGGCAGCAGUGGGGAAUUUUGGACAAUGGGCGCAAGCCUGAUCCAGCCAUGCCGCGUGAGUGAAGAAGGCCUCGGUGU